CCAGAACGUAGCUUAACCACUUAAAGCGUCCGGCCUACACCCGGAAGACUUCGUACUAUCCGAACGUCCUGA
rnacentral:tRNA from 1 species